rnacentral:lncRNA from 1 species
UCAAGCUUUAUAGCAUACAGCACAGGAAAACCAUGGAGAAUGGUGCUCGAGUUAUCAAGGGUUUUAUUCUUUCAGUUCCAGAAUCUGUGUCCCGACUCUGGCAUAGAGCAGGACAACUAGAAUCACAGCAGCUACCACCUCCCACCAUGAACGAAGAAGAAGAGCUGGUCAAUAUGUUCCAUGCUAAGCAGGAAAUGGAAUGGCAGAAGACGCUUCUAAGCAUCUGCUUCACAUCAGGACUUCAAAAAAUACGAGCAACUAUCAAUGAAUUAUGAGUAAAACAUGGCUCACAUGGCUCAUCUCACCGAGAAAUACAAACAACUCUCGAUGAAUUAUGAACAACUUCAUCAAAUGGUCAUGAACUUGGCAUCACAAAGUGGUGAUACAUGUGCGCCCCUUUUUUUGCCAUACGGUUCUGGAAACAACCAACCUCCCCCUCCUCCUCCAGCUUCGUCAUUGUGCUAAUUUAGUAUUUUUUUGGAAAUACAUUCAAUUUGUAAUGAAUAUUAUUUAACUUUUUUUUUUAUUUUUUAUGAUUAAUAAAAUUUUAUUUGCAUAAUUAUUUUUUUUACUAUUAAUUUUUUAUUUUUUAUUCUAAAUAUUUUUUUUUAAAAAAAAUUAAAAACACACACCGAUGGAUUUACAUACGACAUAUAUCCAUCGGCAUAUUACAAAGAGGGAAAUGCCAUACUCACUAGUGAAUUUACAGACGGAUACCGUCCAUCGACAUUUCACAGAGAGUGGUGGAAAUGCACUCACCGACGAAUUUACAGAUGAAUAGAGUCCGUCUGUAUUUAACAGAGUGGUGGAAAUGCACACUCACCGAUGACUUUGCCGACGGACAAAAUCCGUUAACAUCUUACCAAGAGCUGAAAAGUUUUUACUGGAUAUGCCACUAUUACUGAUGGAAUAAAUCCAUCGGUAUAUUUCUAGCGGGAGUUUUUUUUUGUGCGCAUUUUCCGUUUGUAAAACCAUCGGCAAUAUUUUUUUUUACCAACAGAUGCAGCAACGAAAUAUGGUAUUACCGACGAAAAGGAUGCCGACGGAUGCUUUUCGUCAGUAAUUUAGUCGGUAAAAAAGUUAACGAUGGAGUCUGAAUCUUACACCGACGGAUUAUAUUCGUCAGUAAAACUGUAAAAUCUUAUAGUUGGAGAUAACUCAAAAUUGGGUUAUGAGAGUCAUCAAAACUUUGAUACCAUGUCAAAAACUAUUUCAACCCAAUAACUUAAGCUGUUAGGUGAGGUUUCAAUAUAUGAUUUAUAUUAUUCUCUAACAUUAAUAUUCGAGAAUGUGUUAUAAAAAUAGAUUAAUAGGUAUAUUUGAAACUAAUUUUUUUUUUAAAAAAAAAGUUUCGUGUUUGAAUUUUAUUAGUAAGUAUUCUCUAAUGAAAAUUAUUUAACAUAGAAUAAAAAAAUAUAUAGAUGAAUGAAAAAAAUAUUUUUGAUUGGCAUGUUUUUUUGUAAAAUCUUCAAAACUCUUUAUCCCAAUUUGAGAAAAUAUAAGAUAGAACCAGCAAACUCGCUCCUGUUCAGUCUACAUAAACAAGGUCUACAGAGUACUUUCCUUUAAUCUCCUAAAUUCUGUCUGGUCUGUUAACACAUAACAGAGAUUUUGGGGUCUGCAACACCUAGCCACCUUGUGGGUUUGCUUGGAGCUCUUUGGUAGUGUGAUCGAGUCGUCAGCGUGAUAUUAUUAAAAGCCUUCUCAUCUAGAUGUUAACACAUGAUGGAUUGACCCCGGUGAGGAAUACAGGUUAGAUGGCCAUCAAAAUUCCGGGCCGGCAAGCAACUUCUCCACUUCCUCUCUUUUUAGUCGUUCUAAAACAUCCAUUUUCUAAUGAUAACCAGCUGUAUAGAUCGGGGUUUUAGAGAAGACUUGCCAUUAAUAAAAAGGAGGCAUCAAAGGAAGAGCGUUGUCUGUUUACUUUUUCCUCUUGAGGCAUGUGCAUUACACCACUUCCUGCAAAGCAAUGGCUGGAUAGGAUGCGAAUGUUAAUUUGGGAAAUAAUAAUAUUAUUUAUCGGAUUUGGAAAGCAGGAUGCGAAGACAGCUAAGUAGGCAGAGAGAGAGAAAAAAAAAUAUCUUGAUAGCAUAUAGGCUUAUUUGUUUUUGCAUUUCAAAAAUAUUUGAAAAAUGUUUUACUUUUUUAUGUGCUUUUAAUUAAUAUUUUUUUAUAUUUUUAUAUUAUUUUGAUGUGUCGAUGUUAAAAAUAAUUUUUUAAAAAUAAAAAAAUAUAUAUUAUUUUGAUGUAUUUUCGAGUGAAAAAUAUUUUGAAAAGCAACCGCAACUACACUUUCAAAUACCCUACUUUCUUUGUAGAGAAAUAUUUCUUAAAAGUCAAAUAUUUGAAGGGACUCAAUAUUUUCUUAAAAAAAAAAAAGGAAAUUUCAAGUAAAGUGUGAAUUGGGGGAAGAACUCAUAUAUGAUGGGUGUUAACUUAAUCAAGAGGGGGGCUAGCGGGAGUAUAAUGCCAUAAGAAAAUUAAAUCAAGAAACAUCUCUAUUACAUAAUUAUAUAAAUUACAUCCUGAAUUUCACUUAACAGUAAGUUAUUAAAUUUUAUAACCAAGAUAAUUCAAAACCUUAAUAAUUAAACAAUUAUGAGUUCGAAUUCGUUGACAAUUUAAUCUUCUUUUGUAAUCUCAAAUGAUUUGGUUAUUGUAGAACCGAUUCAUGGUAUGGUGGGGUUAUGAGUGGGUGGUUCCAGACACCAUUGAUGAACUCUAUCAUCAAUGGGAGAAUAUUUAUUAGUGGGAAAAAAGCAAAGGGUAUAUAUGUAGCUACGGUUUCUUCUUCUCUACUGAGUUUGUUCUUACAACUCAAUCCUUGCUCUUUUUUUAUAACAAUUGCUUGUGGAUGAUUAAUUCCAUUUAAUGUUUUAUUUUGUUCCGAGGAUAAAUUAAUUUGAGGGGAGAGAUAGAGAGGUGAAGAAAGAAAAUCUUGAUUUGAUAUUUUCGGUCACAGAAAUCAUUGAUCUUAGCUUCCUUGUAUUCAGGUCGGUGAGGAAAGUUGGUGUUGGCUAAAAGCCUUGAGUUUUUUUUUUUUUUAAUUUGAUUUGAUUUGAUUUUCAAACUUUUAGGUUAAUUAAAAUGUGUCUUGGGAUUGAAAUAAGUUUAUGAAGAUUGUUAGAGUAUAUUUUAGAUGUUUAGAGUGAAAGAGGUUGAAAAUUGAUAUUUUAGAUCCAAACCAAGGUUGUCAAUUCCGUUUCAGUAGGUGUUUCGUUUUUUCAAUUGGAAUGGAAUAUUUUAAUUUCGGAAUGUUUCGGCGUGCCAUUUCGAGAUUAUAUUUCGGAAUUUUUUUUGUACUUUGUCUCUGUUGGCUUUUCGAUGUAAUCAAAAUGUCAAUGAUGAUCACUUCUGUGCUGGGAUGGGAAGUCAACUUUAAGAAAUAAUAAUAGUACAGAAUUAGAGGAGAUGAUUUGUGACCAUCUAUAAAGGCAAAUAGUUACCUGCAUAAAACCAUAUACCAGAAAAGGAUAGAUAAAUUCAUAGCUUCAUUUAUUACUAAGAAUGGCCCCUCCCCUUCUUGAAAAAUUGAUGGAAUGCGCUCAGGCAAUUGAAGAUGGUGAUCUGAAACAUGCAGAUUCACUCUUCAAGGAAAUCGGACUCCAAAGUUCCACCGAAGCCAAUUUAGCCACAAGAAAAGUUGUCAAAUACUUCGCUGAAGCUCUUGUUCGGCGACUGUAUAAACUGUAUCCUCGAAGUCCUAUGCCGCUAGUACGUUUCAGAGAAGAUAUGGACAUCCUCGGUUGCAAAUUCGAACCUUUCCUCUCGUUUGCUAGCUACACCAUCAUGCCUCCCUUCUACGAUGCACUGCGUGGAAAAAAACAAGUUCACAUUAUUGACUUUUCCGUUGCGGUGGAUAUCUGGCAGCAUGCUACUCUGAUGAAAGUGCUUGCAAGCGAGCUUGGUAGCCGGUUGUCAUACCGGAUAACUUUCGUCGGGCCAAAAUUAUCAAAACAUCUUGGGUACCUCAAGUUAAUUAGUUUGAUCCUCACUAAAACGGCUGAAAACCAUCAAAUUGAUUUCGAGUAUGGAGAAUAUCUUGCUAAUAGUGCGCGUGAGAUAGUUGGAGCUACUCUCCAACUCGGCAGAAGAAGCAAGGGAGAGGCGGUGGUGGUGGAAUGGGAAUUUGAACUACACAAAUUGCUUGCAGUACCCAGUGCAGUAUUCAAUCUGGUGAUGUCAAAAUUGAAGGACCUCAAACCAGAGGUCAUGGUAAUUGUCGAACAGGAAGCGGAUCAUAACAGUCCAGAUUUGAUGGACCGCCUCGGCAAAUCAUUCAAGUAUUACUCUGUUAUGUUUGACUCCCUCGAGGAGGAUAAAUUUGAAAAGCUUGAAGAUUAUAGAGUUCUAUGGGAGAGGAAUUUUAGGCGCCAGAUUAGCAAAGUGGUGGCUGAAGAGGGCAUCGGCCAUGUUGAGCGACAUGAGACAUGGGCUCAGUGGCGAGACAGACUGUUUAGAGCUGGUUUUCAUCCUGCUCGCAUAUUGUUCCGUGAAACUAUGUUUUUUAAUAACAAGACUAAGACAAUAAUAGAAUAGAAGAAAAGAAUCGGCGUCCUCUGCUCUGCCGGCUCGAUUACCCUUUCGCUAUCUCUUCGGCUUGGAAACCUGACCUAACUCACGAUGGUGAGCACACUGCUUCCUACAAUUACAUCUAUCAGAGUCUCUACUGAUUAAGGAACUUUGUUUUUUAAUGUACUAAAUAUAGCUUUGUUUCAUGAAGUAAUUAUUGAAAUGCAUGUUUUUUGGCUGCGGUAAUAAUAAUAUUGACUAUGCAGAGUCAAUAAGCAUGGAGAUAGGUGACCUAGGAUCUAUGCUGGGCAGUUUUAACAUAGCACAAGAUGCCAGUAGGGAGUCCGGGAAAGCAAGCAAUUCUGUAUCCCGUGAAGACGACGCAGAUGAUGCUACUAUCAUGAUGACAGGAAAUAUUUGGUCGACAGAGGUAUCGUUUUCUCUAUAAAAACCACUUUAUUUUAUUGUGUAUUGGUCAAAUUUGUCCCCUUCGUCAAAUUGAUAGUUUCCAUUAGAUUGCAUCAUUAAAUGAGCCAAUAUGGCUGUAAAUCAUAUUUGCAUUCUAAUGAAAAAAUUAUAAAAAAAGUUAUCAAUUGAAUGAAGUUAGAAUAAAAUGUGUUGGACAAUAAUAUAAAUUAUGUCUUGAUGUCUCAAUUAACACCUUAAAAUUUUAGAUGAAAUGAUUUUUUUAAAAUGAUAUCAAAUCAGCCUUGUUGACUAAACACUCAUAAAUUUAAAUCUUAACAUCUCAAUUCUAUUUAAUAAAAAUAAAACAUAAUAUAGUAUGGGUCUAUAUAAAUUUCAAGCUCUAAAAGCUUUUACUUGAGAGAAUAAAUCAUAUCUUGAGUUCAAGCCCUGAUAGCUUUUACUCAAAAAGUAUGUGUUAGAAAAUAAUAUAAAUCAUAUCUUGAACUCAAACUUCAAGGUUUUCACUUGAAAACGAUUAUAUCUUAAGACCAAGUCUUUGGUCUUAGUGAGUAUAGUUCCCUCCGAGAUAAAUGAUAAUUCUUGCAAUGAACAAUAGUCUCACUAGCAAAAACAGGUACAUAAUAGGUUCAUAGCAGUUUGCAUUUAUAUAAUAUUUAUAUGGUAUAUAUGAAAUGAUGUAACAACUUAUAUGGUAUAUUGUUUGCAUAGCUGAAUGCAUUUAAGUUCACCAGUUGACCUAUUCUAAUGGGCUUUAUGAACUUUUUUCUUCCAAAACAUUUUCACAAACCAGUUGGUUAACCUGGACGCCCUUUUCAAAGAUGAUAUAGAUCAGAACUACCAAAAAGUUUGGUCCUUCACAGAUUUCAGAGUGGAAAGACCAUCGAAUGUCCCACAGCAACAAAAUGGGUACAUAUAUAUUUAUGAUCCACAAUAUAUUGAGUAGUUAGGUUACAUAUUGUUGAGUACCUUUAAAAUACUGUAAGCCACAUCAGUUGACAUGAUUUCUUUCUGUGCAGACAUGACUGUGGUGUGUAUGUUAUCAAGUUUAUGCUAGCACCAGAAGAAGUGACAAAUCCUGAUUUUGUGGUAAGAUUUUAACAUUAAUGUGCCCUUACUGAAGAUAAAGGUAUGACAGUCUUUCUAAUUAUCUAGCCAACAUGCAGUUCGACAGUGAAAACGAGAGGUUAGAAGUGGUACUAAGAUUGCUAGCGAGUGAUGUCAACUCAUGCAGGAAUGAUUUGGCUUCUAAGGCUGAGGCAUAUUAUGAGCAGAAUUUUUGGCAAGAAAUGUCUGCACACACUGAGGCUAAUGUUGAGAUCCUUUUUCUAGCCUAGGAUCAAGGGGUGCUUUCAUUUUUUUUUUUAACCUUGAUUUUUUUGCAAUUAUCCCAUGGGAUCAAGAGUAUUCUAAUCUUUGCAUAAUUAAAAAAAAAUGUCUGCACACACUAUCAAAGAAGAGGCGCCCGCACCCUUUGUAAAUUCUAUCUUAGAUUUCAUUUAAUAAUUUAAGAUGAGAUGGUUUAUUUUUUGUUACUUCACAAUUAUAGUAAUACAUAGCUAAUUUAAGACGAUCUCGUUUAUUUAAUAAUUUAAUAAUUAUAGUAAUACAUAAUUUAUGACGACAAAUAUAUAAUUGCUUGAAAUUUUUUGAAAUUUUCUUAUAUAUAUAAAAAUAUGAAAGAGAAUGAGGUUAGGAUUUUCAUUAUCACAGUAUUAUGAAGUUAUUAUUUUAAAUUAAAUAUAAAACAUUAUAUAUAAACUAAAUUAAAAAUACUAUUUUAACCUUAAUAAAUAAAACAAGAUAAAUAUAUUUUUUAACAACUAUCACUUGUUUUUUUAAAAUAAAAAUAAAAAUAAAAACAAUUCUUUCAAUGAUCAUAGGAAAUAAGUGAACUACAUAGUAAUAAAUUUAAGCCAGUUCUAACAUCUUAGAUGAUAAAGUUACCUUCAUGGGUGUUUUAGAUACACUCUAAGUUCUUAUUAUGAAUCUUUUAUAAUAUCUAAUAUUUAGUUCUUAAUCCAAUAAUUAUAUGAUUUGAAGGGCAUCUAGUAAUGUGAUCGAUGAUAUUAAAUUAACAUUAUAGAAUCGGACCUCUCAUAAUAAAAAUCAACGGAAGGCAAUGAAGAAUCGGACAUCAUUAUAAUAUUCAAUCGGGCCUCUUGCCAAGAGUGGCAUUGCAAGAAACUACGUAAACUUCAAAACAGGGACAGAAUUCCCAUUUAUAUAUUCAUGUUCUUGCUUUGUUAAUUCCCAUUAUAACUUCAAAACAAGCACAGCCUAGAUUCAAACUGUUUAUAUUUAAUUUGGAAAAAACAAAUAUAAAAAAAGGUCCCAGAUACAGAAAUCGAGGGGUAGGCUUAAGGCCCAGCUUGAAACGUGCUAUUCGGCCAUAAGCUGCAACUUUCGCAACAGACGUUAGAUUAAAGCCUUAUGCAUAAAUCCAAAGAACAUUCCUGCCAACCUUUUGAAACCAAAAUGAAAACACAGCUGGUGGUCCUGUGGCAAUGAAUUCAGUGUGCUUGCUACAAGGCAACUAACCUUCCCUCCAUAUAAUUUGGUUUUAUAGUAGUUUUUACAGUUUGGAAAAACAAACUUUUAAAAAAACUAUAAAUUAAAAAACAUUAAUGGCUUGAUUAUUAAGGUUUCUUCAUCAACUUCUACUCUAAUAUAAAAAAUUACAGGUCCGAUUGACUUUUCCAAACUCCAACAUUCGGUUGUUGACUCUUGAGGUCCGAAUCCGAUUAUCAACAAACUCCAACUCUUUCUUUUCUGCUGGUAUAAAUAAGCUGGCAAUAUCAGCAUCAUAAGCAUACUUUUUUGACAGUUUUUUUCGUAUCUUAUAAAUUAUUUCCUUGUCUUCUCAAGCUUUAUAGCAUACAGCACAGGAAAACCAUGGAGAAUGGUGCUCGAGUUAUCAAGGUUUUAUUCUUUCAAUUCAAGAAUCUGUGUCCCGAUUCUGGCAUGGAGUACGACAACUAGAAUCACAGCAGCUACCACCUCCCACCAUGAACCAAGAAGGAGAGGCUAACCAGGGAAUGGAAUGGCAAAAAAUGCUUGUAAGCACCUGCUUCACAUCAGGACUUGAAAUAGCCCUUCAUUUUCACCAAAUUACUGAUUCCAAACUCGAUUCCUUGCAUUUA